CUCAGACACCCGGUUGAGGCCUGUCAGGAAGGCUGUGCAGAGGGUCCCGAGGCACAGCACCGGCUUGGCCAGUCGACUGCUCUUUGUCUUGAUUGUGCUUGUGAUGUACAUCUGCAGGAGGACAGAGACAACAAAGAAGCCUCAUCGAGCUACUACUGAUCUGUUUUCUUUCAUUGAGAAUCUCUAGACUACUCAUAUCCUGAACAUAAAAUAAGUUGAAGUAAGGAAAAGGGUGUUUUCAACCAACAGCUGCUCUUCCCCAGAAAAUAUAUACUCCCUGGUCUUGUUUGGAAAUGCAAACCCUCCUCAGAGGAGUUAUCUACAACAGCAUGGCCGAUGAGAGUGAAAGAGGUUGUUAAGGAGUUGCCCAUAAAAGAGAGAAACAAGGUUAUUCCAGAAACCUUGAUUGAAUUGGAUGUUUCAUUUGAUGUUGGAAAGAGAAAAUGAGAAGAAAGGCAGAGUGUUAAAGAUGAACAUUGUUGACUAUAUUGGCUUCCUAUUACUUCCGUAACAAAUUACCGCACACUGAGUAGCUGAAAACAACACAAACUUAUCCUCUUAUAGUUCUGAAGGUCAGAAGCCCAAAACAGGUUUUACUGGGCUAACAUCAAAGUGUUGGCAGGGUUGUGUUCCUUCUGGAAGCCCCAGGGUAGAAUGAAUUCCUUGCCGUUUCCAGCUUCUAGAAGCUGCCUCAUUCCUUUCUUUGUGACCCCCUUCCAGCAAUCAUGUCAUUACAACCUAUGUUUCCAUUGUCACAUUUCCUUCUCUGCCUCCCCUGCCUCCCUCUUAUAAGGACUCUUUGAUUACAUUGGGUCCACCUGGAUAAUCCAGGACAAUCCCCUCCUCUCAAAGUCCUUAAUUUAAGCAUGCCUGUAAAUUCCCUUUUGUCACAUGAGGUAACAUAUCCAUAGUUUCCAGGAAUUAGGAUAGGGACACUUUGGGAUAGGGACACUUUGGGAGAGGGAGGAAUUAUUCUUCCUACCACAUUGGCUUUGCUGUUUGGCUAAAAAUCCUGUGGAUAGGCUACAUUUCUUAGAUUUAAUCUGUUCUCUGGUAAAUUCCACAGGAUUAGGCCCAUUAAGCUUGAACAUGGAUAAGCAGAAUUCCUUAUAGUAAGCUUCACCGUGAAUUCUUCCAAAGCCUACACGGUACAUCUAUAGAUUAUCUGUGGACUGUUCUGUGAAAUAUAUCAGGAGGGGAUGCGCAGAGCCAAGGUAUGUGCAAGUCACUUAAAAGGAUAAAGAAGACUUCAAAUGCAGCUCAAUUAUGGAGGAAGUUGGCAAGUGUGAAAGGCAGAAUUAACCCUCAUAAAUGUCAAGGGUCGGGUAGAGUUUCAAUUAAAUUCUUCCCAAUUUUGACAAUAUUCAAUGUCCUGAAUCUGAAAAUUGUGCUGAUGUCAGCGCCCAGAAGUUAAUCCAUUAUAGCAGAAGUGAAGACAAGUUUGGCUGAAACCUUCAUCUGGUUUUCAUUCUGAUCUGUAUUGAUUGCUAUAAUUUUCUUUUUUGUGGCUUUGCCAGGAUGUGCUUUAUCACACGAGAACUGGCUCUUUUAAUGGCUUCAGCCAGCUCACCCUCAUAGGGUCUGACCUCUGAGAGGAGGCAUUCAUUGAUCAUUCGUGGCGAUUUUCAAGCCCAGGUGCUAGAAGUCUGAAUGGAUAGGGAUUCUUUUUACGUCUUCAAUCAAAGACCAGGUCUCUGGUAUUUUCAAGGGGUAAUAAGUCUGUCUUCACACUUUUCCAGGAAACUAGAGUAAUUUAUGAUUGAAAAGGGGAAAGCGACAGCAUUUUCCUCUGGCAUUUUAUUUGUCAGAAAUGCUUCCAAUUAGGGCAGGCUUGUUCUUUCUGAGACCACAGAUUUCUAGGCUCCUUGCAGCAGCAUCUGAAGUGCCAGCUCUAUGGUCAGAGUCACUCUGUGACGGCCAGCUUUCCUCUUCACUGUCAUGUGACACCUUGGCUGAAAGUUGCUCUCCUUUCUUCUGUCUGCCUCUUCUGGAUUAUGUCUGCUUCUCCUGAUGGCUUAACAAGCAUCUUCCUUCCACACAUUUCCUCCUGGUGCAUUUGUUCGCACUUCAGAAGGCCACUGUGGCAGCCUGGGGAAUCCACGUGCCUGGCCCAGGCCAUGCCAACAAAAGGCACCGGAACCUGCAGCAGUGACGCACAGACCUCAGAUCCUACGGGGCUUUUGUAAGGAACUCCAGCCAUUUCUCUGUUCUUCAUCCUGAGCUCCUUGUGUGUGUUUCACAAGCCUCAGAAGCUAAAAAUAGCUACUUUUGUCCUGAGAUUCGGGUGGAAUACCAUUUAUGCUCUCCUGUAUUGCAAGGGAUGAUUUGAAGGAGAUGUUUUAAAAAUGUCUAUAUACCCUAAAAUUGGUGACUAAAAUUCUUUAAGUGAGAUUAUAUUUUUGACAUUUUAACAGACACAGUUUUCAUUCCUGUAACCCUUGCUAAUGGGUUCUAUUUAUCUCAUGGCUGAGCGCCCCACAGCUUCAGGGGAGCUGGUUACAUUUCUGAAUGGAUUUACAGCAGACGCAGAAGUCUAAAAGCAAAGUGCUCAGGGGAGGAUGCAGCAGACAGAACCCUGCCUGGUCUGGCUGAAGGAGUGAAGGGGCACUGCCACGCUCCCUGCCUCAUGCUGGUUGUCAAACUCCAGGGGCAGGCAAUAGAAAUCUCCAGAUUGAAUUUUGGAAAUCCAGUUGAAGUGUAUCCUGUGCCUCUUAGGCUGUAGCUCAGGAGCCCUGCAAGCCUUUUAGAGAUGUUUCGCAUCCAGCAUGGUAUCAGAGCAACAGGGUCCUGCACCAGCAAUGACAGAGGGAAGGUCAAACUGGUUAAGCCCACCAGACCCAUACAUUCUGGCAUGGGAUGGAGUGGGCAAGUAGUUGGGAAUUCCCACAUCCCUAAGGGGUGAGGGGCAUUAGAACGCUGAGAGGACCACGAGGCUAGAAGAAUCGUGGAAUUAGGACAAAAAGACUAGUAUCUGUUGAUGAUAUCUGUGGUCCCUGUCAUGAUGAGAUAGAUCAGCCAAGGAAACCUUUGCGGCCUAAAAGAACCUGACCCCCAUCAGGCAAGUCAAAGGAUGAAGAAAGAGGAACAUGAAGGUGUUAAAAAGUCCUUACGUUUUUCCUUGGGAUUUUACCUGGAUCCAUCUGACCUCAGAUAGAAUGUCUCUGGACAGGUUAGGAUCUCUGACCACUAGUAAUUUAGGACAUGGAGGUAAGACUCUGUGACUUGGUCCCUGCUACGGAAUCAGUGCAGGGUUCCACCCUUUUUCCCACAAGAAGGUAGUAGUAGCACAACCAGGAAAUGUGCCUCGUGAGGAUCUUUGUAGCCAGAGAUAACCGGUGUGUUUGCAAAGGGUAAUAAGGCUCAUACCAGGAUACCUUUAGGCCUCCCAAACAAAGAAGCGGUCAGAACACAUAACUGCUCAUUGCCGAGCAGGAUCCUGUUGCUUUCCGCACAGGAGACCUUCCUUAGGAAGCAUAGACCCGGAGUAGACCCAGCUUAGGUAGAGUGAUAAUUAGCAGGGACUGGGGAGUGAGCAAAGGAAGGACUGACUUCCUUUUAGGCACAGAGAACCUGUGACUUUAGGGGGAGCCUCUGAACUGAAGGCCCAUUGUUCUAUGUUAAACUAUAAAUGCGUAAUUUUCCAAUUUAAAAUGGCACCUUGCUGACAGCCUCUGAUAGAGCAUCUCGUAAGUGUCCACUACAAUAUAUAUGAAGACAGUGAAAAAAGAUGGAAACUCCUAAUUCCAAUCCAACGGGAAUCAGUGAGAGGUUUCUUUCUGUCACACACACGCAGCUUUACCUCGUGGAAAACUCAAGCUUCUUCUCAGAAGACAGAGGUCACUGGAGAAAAUCUAGGGAGAGAUUUCCUGUCUCUCCUACUGUCUGGCCCCCAACUCAGAGAUCCAGAAUUUAGACUACUUAGCAAAAACGAUUGCUGCCACUCCACUGGAUGAGUUGUGCUCUUUGAAUUUGGCUGGAGCUGUCUCCUCUCCUCCCUCAUUCUUCUAAAUGUAUGUAGAGACACACCGCUGCACAAUGACUAGGCAGGAAACGGCAGGGGAAAGGCCUUGGCAUCCUGCUUCAGAGAGGAAGAGAGGUGCACGCUCUAGAGAGCAGUGCAUGCUGAGCACUGCAGCUUUGUGUGCACCCAUCUUUAUAGCAGUGGGGGUAGGAGGAGAGGCCAGACCAUUGGAUUUGAUGAGCUCUAGAAAGCCUGCUAACUUAGGUUUGGACUUGGUGCUCUGCACACCAACCUGCUCUCAAGCUUAAGCUCUGAAAAGAGGGCCAAGAGCAGUCACACACUUUUAUCUGUUAAUGAGCACUGAAUGUGUAUAGAUCUUGCCCCACUGAAGAGUGAACAGGG